AAAUAUUCCGCUCUGAGUUUCUAUGUGCUUUUUACAUCGGCGGACAUAACGGAAAUGGCCCAACUGUCGUCUUUCUUAUGACUGGGACAUAUUUUCUGAUUUGCUGUAGCAUUAAUUUGGGAAUUAUAGAACAAGAUAUACAGAGCAAUGAAUCAUCUAUUCACAAAGUUACUGAUUUCAUUUUCGCAACAAACAUGCCGGAAAGGAUUCUUAUUUGGGGCUGUGGUCUCAAAACAACAUCCACUCCUUGGGAGUCUGUUGCCCAGUGAUGGGAGGGAGUACAAGUCCAUGCCAACCCAUGGGAUUGGACGAUAUUCUCACCUAAUACCAAGAAAUACGGCAAGACCCAGUUUAUAUGGUUUAUUUUAUUAAAACACGCUAUAUAUGUAGGGAACUUGUUAUAGAUACAGCAGCAAAUCCUCUCAUGGGAUUAUAUCUGCUGGACCAAUUAUUACCAUAUUGAAUAUGUAUAAGGAUAUACUGUAGGCCUUGAGGUCAUUCCAGACAGUGUGAGAACCAUUAGCUGUUUGACUGUACUACUAUAGUACUAUGAAGUAGGGCUGGGCAAUUCAUUGAAAAUUAAUCAAAGCUGAAAUUCCGAACCUCUAAUCGAUGUAAUCUUGCCCAUGCCAGAUACUUCAUUUUUUUUAUUCUAUUAAUGCUUAAAAUAAAAUCUGUCAAUACUUUCCUCAGUGUGUGUUCAUAUACUGUCCCCUUAAAAACAUACUACUGUGUAUUUUGUCACAUGACUUGCCGACUGGUCAACUCAAGCAGUUUGUGCCAAGGAAAAAUGCUGUAUAACCCGUUUGCUUCUGGCUAGCUACCUGAGGUUAAUACUGCAUGCAGAGCAAACAUGACGGGAAAAAGAAAGUAAUUUUCUUCUCAAUGACAGAUAUAGACUUAUCAAAGUUUAUGAUAAACUGCCAAAAACAAGCCAACGAGAUGCAGCAGCAAAACUACAUUAAAUUAAGUUUUACCUAGUCUCAUACUGUAUUGUAGCAUAUUUGAAUUAUACACAGUUCGGUAAUUUAAUUUGUACGGUACUAUACUUUGAAAAGCGUUUGAAACAGCUGUACUAUAUUUUGAAAGACUCAAUAAAAUUCAAUAAAUAGUGA